ACUGUCUGGAAAACGCUCGGUUUAGUUCCUGUCUCCGCCUCCCAAAAUGUCUAGUGUAUUCGGGUUGGUCAGAUGACUACUCAACUGUUAUUGGUCAGCUGGGUUCGGCGUGUGUUUGAAAGGUUACGCCCCUGACUACGCGUGGGUUGACACAGAUUCUGACUGAGAGUCACAGCCUCAGAGGCAACGUAAACAAGCGUUAUAUUUCUCUAUAAACGAUGGUGUCUGUACUGCCUUACCACUUCGAGCUCGAUCCAGAGAGUUCAGAAGGCCGUUACGAUAUAAACGAUCUCCGUCAAUGAACGCGAUUGGAUUUAACUUUUUUAGGUGUCCUUAGCUCUGCCAGAAUGCUAAACGAAGACGAAAAUGUGUUGCAAAGACAUCCAAAAGGUUUUAAGGAGAAUGCAACAGGUUCCAGGGCCUCUUACCUGCGUGAUUCAUCAUCCAGGUUUUGCACAAAUUGUCUAAAUCCCUACACACAGAACAUUUAUUGUACCGACUAUAAGCCUUUGAGGCGCAGGACUAGAAUAUGCUUGGAGCUUCCUGAUCGGAAUGUUGGCUUUCGACGACCCCUGCACUGAAGAUGGCAUGCAAUCACGUCCUCCUUUGAAGGUCUCUCAAACUGUGAUGCCAGGUCCAUUGGAAUCGGG